UUUUCCUACGGGAGGCAGCAGUGGGGAAUAUUGGGCAAUGGGCGCAAGCCUGACCCAGCAACGCCGCGUGAAGGAAGAAGGCUUUCGGGUUGUAAACUUCUUUUGUCAGGGACGAAGCAAGUGACGGUACCUGAGGAGGAAGCCACGGCUAACUACGUGCCAGCAGCCGCGGUAAUACGUAGGGGGCAAGCGUUAUCCGGAUUUACUGGGUGUAAAGGGAGCGUAGACGGCAUGGCAAGUCAGAUGUGAAAGCCCGGGGCUUAACCCCGGGACUGCAUUUGAAACUGUCAGGCUGGAGUGCAGGG
rnacentral:rRNA from 1 species